AUAGUGUUCUGUUCUGUGAGGCAGCGAUGACCUCCGGUAGCUGCUUUAUCUGAAACCUCGGCGAGCUCUUGGCCGAGUCUGGCCCCUCUCUUCCAAGUGCUGCGUGUUUCCUGGGCACUGGGUUCAUCCGCUUUUCGUAUGAAAGAAUAUUCAGCAUGAACUUUGAAGCCAGAUCAAAUCCCCGCUCUAACACUAGACAAUUCAUUCCUGUGGCUUCAGUUUUCGUCUCCAGCCGGAUUUCUCUCUGGAGCUCCAGAUCUAUUUAUCUGACCACCAACUGGACAUCUGCACUUCAUUUAGUGAUCCCCUAAGCUCAACUUGACUGAACUGGGACUCAGUGCUCAUCCCAUCUCCUCCAGACUUGCUCAUCCUCCCCGUGCGCCCUGUCUUAGUGAAGGGCACCACUCCCGCUUGAUUGCCUAACUGUGUGUGUGUCACAGCUCUCCUGUUGGCCCUGGAAGUUCCUUGAGGGCUGGGCCUGUGCUCUUUGUGUACAUUUCUCUCUGGCUCCCAGGACAGUUUCUGCUCACAGCGGACACUCAUGUGAGCAGACAGGUCGCCCCUUUCCUGCUUUAGACCCCAUGGAAGAGAUCCCAAAUUUGUCUGGGAAUAAGUCUACCUGGGGACAUCACAGCAACUCAGUUAUUUGGCAAACAGAUUUUUA
rnacentral:lncRNA from 1 species